UCUUCUAGUCCAACCCCCUGCUCAGGCUGGAGACCCUACACAAUUCCAGGCAAACGGUUGCCCAAUCUCUUCUUUUGUAACCUCCAGUGAUGAAAAGUGUAAUUUUCUCUGGAAACCAUUUAGGUCAAAAGGGGCAGCCAUAAAAAAAAAAGGGUCGUAAGUUUAAGGCCAAGGUCGCUGUGAGUAAUACCACAACGGCCACAGAAACAUCAAAUAAGGAGGAACUCCAUGCCCACAAACUAUUCAGCGGCUUCUUUAUAAAUUCUGCAAGGCUUCAUCCUCAAUUCACUUCUCUCCCCGAGUUCCUGAAGACUCCUCCCAUCGGAUCUCCCAGCCGAGGUUCCUUCAAGUCCUCCUACUAGAAUCCACAGGGAAACAUGUUUGGCCCCCAAACUCCGCAGUGGGGGCAACCUCUGAUGUGUGGGAUGCCACUACCUCCGAUGUGUGGGAUGCCACUACCUGAGAUGUAUGGGAUGCCACCACCUCAGAUGUAUGGGAUGCCACCACCUCAGAUGUAUGGGAUGGCACCACCUCAGAUGUAUGGGAUGCCACCACCUCAGAUGCCACCUCAGAUGUCUGGCGGCCAAGCUCAGAUGUCUGGCGGCCAACGUCAGAUGUCUGGCGGCCAAUCUCAGCCGUGCUACCGCCCAUGUUAGCUGUGCUGCCCCCUCCCCAGCAACGCUUCCGCAAGUAGAAGGACCAAAAUCCAAGAUGCUGUUUAGAAGCUGUUGAAGGGAACGUCCGGAAGGAGAACGGAGAAGGAGAAGGUCCAUCUCUUGGCUUCCAGCCUCAACCCAACACGGAAGCCCACCAAGAAAACAAGACCCUGGGAAUUGAUGCUGGGGUGGCCUAUUCCGUUGGCUCCUCGAAGGCCAAACCAACCACCGAAGGCCCACGCGGAUGGAGAACUCGGCAGCCAAAACCAUCACGAGAACUUCCAAGAAGAACCGGUCUCCUGAUCCUUCAUCAUGUCAUGGUCUUCUCCUGCCUUCCCCCUUCUGGUGUUUUGCCCUGCGCUCUGCUUGUCCCCUGGCAAAAUGUUAUUAAAAUGCAUGAAUUAGCCGGCA